CGUAGAGCGGAGGGAGUGCGGAGACGGGGGACGAGGGGACCUUCUCCUCGUCGGAGUGGAAGGAGGGAGAACCGUGGGGCCUAGAGGUGUAUGAUUUACUCUUCUGAAAAAUAGUCCCCACCCAGCGAGGCCACUUACCCCGCACUAAACCAGUCAUACGUCCAGUUUGGGGGAGAUAAAUGUGUUACCGUAGAAGAAGAAACCCCCCUGGCUUUUGUUUACCAUUAUGAGCAGCUGCAGUUCGAACCACAGUGGAGAUACCUCUGCAUCAUCUCGGACCAUCGUUCACUCACACCAAGGAUUGGUCUCCUACUUGUGAUCUGAGCUGAAGCCCUGAUUGGAGGAAUUUCUCUCUUCUUAUCUGCCCGAUGGAUCAUAACCACGUCUGAUCUGUGCGGGCAAAGGAGGGCGUGAAGAUGACCUCUUUUGGGCUUUUGGCACAUGGGUGCCCUCCUUCUGCUGCUGCUGCUGGGACGUUGGCCUUCUCUUCUCUACGGCACCCACCCUUCUCCAGUCCUGGCCUAUAUCUGCAGCACAAUCAUCAGGACCUCUGCCUGGAUUGUGUAAAAGUUUGACUUCCAUCCCAUUUUCUGACUAUGUUUACAUGUAUCCACACUCUGGGUUUUCUGUCAUUAAGUUGGCUAAAAGGCCCAGAGAAAGCUGAUUUAUGCAGGAUGAUUUGGGUUUUAUUUCUCCCAGGCUGCAUGUAAACGUAGUCAGCUGAAUCUAAAAAAAAUCCCCACAUGCUUUGUAAUUAGAUCAGCACAGUUUGAUAAUGAACAAACUGCUCCACAUUUUCUGGGAAAAAAGUAAAGACACAAGAUACUGUAGCAACGAUCAAGGCCUGUGAUUAAACUAGACUCAAAGGGUGUUUUAGUUUUAAUUUUGCACUACCUCAUCGUCAUAACAAGUCAAACAGGAAUGGAAGAGAGCGUGAUCAAAACAAAUAAUGGUUGCACAGCGCCACAGCAGUUUAAUGAGUCAAACCCAAACGGGUUAGGUCUGCAGGUUUAUGUUUGACAUAGGUAACAAGAGACAACAGAGCAGCCCAGAAGCACACGAUACACACUGUCAUUUACUUUUUUAGUUUAACCAUCACGAGGCAAAUGUCAGCUUGCUUAAACUGCGGUCCCCUAUGCAUGUGGUGUAAUGGUUCUUGUAUUUUGUGCUCUGCUUUGUCAAGUCUGCAGGUUUAUUCACAAACAGCAAGUAGGGUCAGAAUCUGCACGGUGGACUGAAACCUAAAGAUCCCUCAUGUUUUGCAACAAAGAGAUUCAGUAAGUCUUAAAUUAUGAAAGACGAGGCCAACUUUCUUACCUUAAUAGUCUCCUUAGUAGAAGUUGCUUUAUUUCUGCUUUUGGAUUGCCUUAAAUCCCCCUUAUAUCCCUUUUACUUUUCCAUUUAGUCUCUUUUAAAUCACUGUUGCUUUUAUAUGAGGAGUGGAUGUAGCCAUGUUGGAGUUUCUUGAGUUCUGUUUUUCUGCUGUAUUGGCCUCUUUUUCAUGUCAGUCUUGAUCAUUUUGCAAACAUAGUGACUGUAUUUGACUAACAAGUCUGAAAUUGAAAAUGGUAAGAGGUUAGCAGAGUCGAGUUAACCGCCAAAGCUAUGUUAAGUUGUUUAAGUGGCUGUGUUUUACAUCACGUGAUAUGCACACAGACUCUUACGGGUUUACAAGACAUAAGAAAUAAAGUUGCAGUCAUACAGCAACCUCAAUGAUUGAAAAAUGAGGCCAAAGCAGGAGUCCAAAAACCUGACAGUUUCAGAGUGUCCAUUUGAGGCUGACUGCAGAAGCACCAGAGGUAAAAUAACCAUGCUUUCUGCAGAAAUAAACAGCCUGGUGGAAUAGUUCAUACCUCUAUAGGCACACACACCAUACGAGGGAUUAGCGUUUUGUUUUAGUUUUAAGAAGGAUACAUGAACAGCUUGCAUGGCUGAUAUGACUGCAAGCCAGCAUGUUUAACUGUUUGUUUUGGUUUUAUUUUUGCACAGUUAAAAUGGCAGGAAUAGAUUAUAUACAGUGCAAAAGAGUCAGAAAACUCAGUGCUUAUUUGAAGCCUCCACCUAAAUAAAGUUGAAAAAAGGACAUAAAAUCAAUUACACAAAGUUAAGGAGGCUUAAUGUCUGCCUCACCUCCACCUCUUUGCCUGCUUCUAGGUUCACCAAGAGUUAGUUUCAGGCUAUGUUUUCAUCAAACAGCUGCCAUGAAUUGGUUUCAAAAGCCUCCUUUAGUAACUGAAUGGAUGAGGUGACUCAGACAUCGUCCAUUAUUUUCUACAGCCUGCUUAAUUUAAGUCAUCACAAGUUCCUUAAAAUGUUCCUUUUAGAGCUUGGUGUUAAACAUUGCAUUCUGCCUUUUCUCAAAGGCUUUGCAGAUGAAAUUUUGUCUGAAAAGGUUCCUUUUUUAAAGCACAACUUAAUUUUUCCCAUAAUCAACGAACCAGAGGACAAUUAUGAAACUGCAUUGAUUAAAAUGCAACAUUUAGUAAACUAUAAAACAUCUUGAAGCACUCCCCUGUUGUCAUCAGAAAGACAGCAGGCUUAAUUAUGCAUUGGCUUCACCAUUAAAAUCCUAAUGCUACAUCCACUUCUCAUAUAUAACCUUUUCAGCAGAUUAAACAUAUUCUAGUCUUGUUUUCCCCUUUGGUAUUUUGCAAUGAUAAGCGAUCCCAAAACAGGAAAUCCUCUACAUGCUGCAGGUAGAGAGAAUUCACCAUGUCGUGAAUAAACUGCGAGGAAAUAUUAGAGAUUACUUUGUCCUGUAAAAUCUAUCAGAUAUCAGAGCUGAGAAAGCUGCUUUAUCCCUGAAGAACACCCUGGUCUCUUGUUUUAACUUUUCUUUCUUUAUAAAAAAUUAUUUUAUAUUUUUUCAAAAAUCACAUUUUCCGGGAUUUGUGCAAUAUUUGAUCUUAACUGUCAUGUUGUUGACCAAACUGUAUAUUGUAUAAACAAGUGACAAGUUGUUUGAAAGCAACAAAAUCACCAAUGUCUUCCAUUAAGAUAUGUAUAGACUCAUGUGCAUUAGCUUAUUUAGCGGGACUGUGGUGCCAACAUUAUAGUAGCCAUGCAUGACCAGUAGUGAUGCUUGCUUUAUGAAGAGUAGUUAAAUUCAUUCUUAGACUAAGCUGGAGCUCAGAACAAUUAAUGAGGUGAAGUCUUACAAACUAAACCUCCAAACACUCAACAUUUAGGUACAGCUUUGCCCUCAAAUCUUAAAUCAUGCGACAUCUCCUUUUUUAUUCCAUGUCUUUGGUGUAGAAUAAGUUCCAUCAUGAAAAUACAGUUUAGGUAAGACACAAUCAGGGUAUGCACAUUAUUGAAUUAUGUCAUUUUAUAUAUGCAUGUUAUAAGUAACAGAUCUCCUCUGUGUUCUUAAAAAGGAUGAAGAGAUGUCCUUAAUUGUAUUCUUGUUUAGUCAAGCAUCAAAAGAAAAAGGUAGCAGUUAUUCAGUAACCAAAAAGAUCCCAAAAAUAGUCAUGUAUUUAACUAGAACUAUAGCUUAGUGGUGAUAUGCCUCCAUGAGGUUUACAAAUGCUGGACAAUGAAAGUAUGGUGGUGGGUCUCAAGCAGAAGGACUGGUUUGGUGUUUGAUUGACUUGUAGCUCUGAAAUGUAGUCAGUUUAUCCUAGGGUCAAAGUGGACAUGUGUGCAAAGUUUGAAGAAAACCUGUCCACGUAUUCCUGAGAUAUUGCAUUUGCAAGAAAGAGUUUAACAUGAGGCCCAAUGACAUUGACCUCAGACCUCCAAAAUCUAGUCAGUUCAUCCUUGUGUCAGAGUGGACACUUUUGAAAAGUUCAAAGAAAAUCCCUGAAAGAAUUCUUCAGAUAUCCUGUUCAAAAGCAAGGGAUGUACAUGAGGCCCAAUAACCUUGACCUCUGACCUACAGCCUUCAAAAUAUACUAAGUUGUCCCUUGAGUCAGAGUGGAUUCUGGUGAAAAGUUUGAAGAAAAUCCAUCGAAGUAUUCUUAGGAUAGCACAUUUAAAAACAACAGGUGAACAUGAGGCCAACUGACCUACACCUAGACCUUCAAAAUCUCUUUGUCAGAGUGGACACUUGUAAAAAAUAAAGAAAUCCAUGAAGAAUUCUUGAGACACUAAAUUCACAAGCAAUGGGUGAGAAUAAAGGCCCAUCCAGUGACUUCGUCUUGGACCUCCAAGAUCUAAACUGCACAUCCUUUAGUCGGGGUGGACAUAUUUGCAUUAUUUGAAUAAUAUCCCGUAAGCAUCACUAAGAUAGUACUUAAACAGGAGAGAGAUGAAUAUGAGGCCUCAUUAUUUUGACCCACAACCUCCAAAACUAAAUCAGUUUAUCCUUAAGUCUGAGUGGACAUUUGGGAAGAGUUUCAGGAAAAUCCCUUAAAGCGUAAUUGAGAGUCCACAUAGACAAAAGAGGGAUAACCAUGAGGCCCAAAAUCCAAACAGGUCCUCCUUCUGUCAGAGUGGAUAUUUUCAGAAAUGUAGAAAAUCCUUUAAAGCAUGUCAAGAUACAAAUUCACAAAUGAGCAAUGAACAUGAGGCCCUAUAACCUCUACGACCUCAAGGAUCUGAUCAGAUCAUCCUUUUGUCAGUCAGCAUGAAGGUAAAGUUCAGAGAAAAUCCUCAAAAUACUCCAUAGAUAUCACAUUUACAACAAUGGCACAAAUGGAUAAACAGACAACCCAAAAACCUCCAGAUCCGGCUAUCACCGAGACACGGAGGCAUUCAAACUGUAGAAACGUGUAGAGAAUAUAACAUUUAGUCAUAGAUUUGAUAUUACUGCUAGUUUUUAGUCCAAGAGUUAAGAUCUCUCAUAUGACAUCUUGUACAUAAUACCUCAUAGUUUGGGGAUUCAGAGCGAUAUAUUUUAAUCCAUAAAAUUGUAUUUGAUUAGAGUUUUAGAAGCAAUAACCUACAAUAAUGCAUGAUUUUAGUGCCAGGGUGUAAGUGUUUAAAGGCGUCUGUCACGUCAUGUGGAAAGGAUUUUUUCUUCCCCUCUUAUAUGCCUAAUGUAGCUAUCUGUUUGUCACUUUAGUUUGGGGUUAGUAUUAAAAUAUUUGGCUUUAGAAAGCAGUACUUAUUGUUAGGACAGCUGUAGCAUCAUGGCAUCACUAAAAUAUCCGACAUGCAAAAAUAAAGCUUUGUCUUGUAUUCUUUCAGCACCAAAACAUAAUUUACAGUACAUGAAAGAUGCUUUAAUUUAACCCCUUGUAGCAUUUUUAUAUCAAGAACCCUUCCAACCCGUCUUUUAGGAACUUUUAAUCACUCUGUGGCUGCAAAAGACUUACUGAACGCACUUGGUUCUUGUUUGAACAGCACUUUCUCUCUACGUACUGACUUGCACCGUCAUCACCACCCUGUCUUGACUACUGUGUUCUGAAAAAAACCCUGUAAUGCUCUGUUGGGAUUUAUAAUCACAAUUUAUAAGCAAGUAGGCGUCUAGCAACAAUGGAUAUAUGGGUUUAAAAAAUAUGCAUGACUUUUAGCAGAAUAAUGAAUGAUUUGUAUUGCAUGCAAUAAUCCAACUUUGUAAUGUGAAUGAGUGUAAUUAGGCUACUGAAAUGUGCAUUAUCAGAUGUUCUGUGAUAAAGUAGGGAACGGUUGUUUGACACGGCGGCAAGCAUGAAGUAGCUUUGAUCAUCAGCUGUGGUUUACUGCACCAAAAAAGACCAAACAGAGAAGUGUUUCUGUUUCUGGCUGUGCAGCUGAGAAACAUCCUUCUACAUUUUGUUCCCAUGUUAAAAAAAAAAAAAAUCUUAGGUAAGAUGAUUUUUCUUUGUUGAUCAACUUUUCCACUGAGGAAGUGGACUGUGUAGAAACUAUGCACUCCAGGGGGAGGAUAUGGGCAUGCUUAUUAUGUGUGAGCCUCUUGUCUGGUUUUGUAUUAUUAACUAAGAAAAAAAGAAGAAAUCUGUAUCAGAAAUUCAGCAAUAAAAUGCAGCAUGGUGCCAACUGAA